GAUGAACGCUGGCGGUAUGCUUAACACAUGCAAGUCGAACGGACUCUUCGGAGUUAGUGGCGGACGGGGGAGUAACGCGUGAGAAUCUGGCUUUGGGUUCGGGACAACCACUGGAAACGGUGGCUAAUACCGGAUGUGCCGAGAGGUAAAAGAGAAAUUGCCUGAAGAUGAGCUCGCGUCUGAUUAGCUAGUUGGUGAGGUAAAGGCUCACCAAGGCAGCGAUCAGUAGCUGGUCUGAGAGGAUGACCAGCCACACUGGGACUGAGACACGGCCCAGACUAAUACGGGAGGCAGCAGUGGGGAAUUUUCCGCAAUGGGCGAAAGCCUGACGGAGCAAUACCGAGUGAGGGAAGAAGGCUCUUGGGUUGUAAACCUCUUUUCUUAGGGAAGAACAAAAUGACGGUACCUAAGGAAUCAGCAUCGGCUAACUCCGUG
rnacentral:rRNA from 1 species